rnacentral:rRNA from 1 species
GACGAACGCUGGCGGUGUGCUUAACACAUGCAAGUCGAACGGAAAGGCCCUGCUUUUGUGGGGUGCUCGAGUGGCGAACGGGUGAGUAACACGUGAGUAACCUGCCCUUGACUUUGGGAUAACUUCAGGAAACUGGGGCUAAUACCGUAUAGGAGCUCCUGCUGCAUGGUGGGGGUUGGAAAGUUUCGGCGGGUGGGGAUGGACGCGCGGCUUAUCAGCUUGUUGGUGGGGUAGGGGCUUACCAAGGCUUUGACGGGUAGCCGGCCUGAGAGGGUGACCGGCCACAUUGGGACUGCGCUACGGCCCAGUCUCCUACGGGGGGCAGCAGUGGGGAAUAUUGCACAAUGGGCGGACGCCUGAUGCAGAAACGCCGCGUGCGGGAUGACGGCCUUCGGGUUGUAAACCGCUUUCGCCUGUGACGAAGCGUGAGUGACGGUAAUGGGUAAAGAAGCACCGGCUAACUACGUG